rfam:Hordeum vulgare subsp. vulgare, WGS project CAJW01000000 data, contig: morex_contig_47242
CUAGUACUCCCUCCGUCCUAAAAUUUUUGUCUUAGAUUUGUUUAGAUGUGAAUGUAUCUAGUCAAGUUUUAGUAUUUAGAUAAAUCCAUUUUUAGACAGAGUUAAGAUAAGAAUUUUGGAAUGAGGAAGUACUAG